UAGGCAUGAAACAAUGGGAAUUGUUUCCCUCCUCAUUCUAUGUUCCUUUUUGGAAUUCCAUCACUCACCUCAACAGGAUUCCUUGGGACAAGAAAAUGAUGCCCACAGCAUGCAGGGAAAUCAUGGUAGCUGCACUGAGGGGAAGAAAAACAGCCCAGGGGCACAUCCACCAAGUAUUCGCAGAAUCUAAGCUAUAAAGCAUUUCUGCAAUAAGGUAAAACACAAGGGGAUUAGAAAAGAGUUGAAUGAGUCAAUAUCUACCAUAUGCUGCAUUCUGCAUAUUAUCUACAACCAAGGUAAACAAUUUUAUAAACAUUUCAUAAAAGCUAUUAUGGCAUGAAGAUGUAAAGUUACCAGUGGGCAAAAAUGUCAGUUGGAAAUUAGAUGUAGCCCCAAUUUGUAUUAAUUUUAGAUAUGUAAAAUAUUACUGAACUAGUCCUUAUUUAGUAUAUAAUAUCUUAACUGAGG
rnacentral:lncRNA from 1 species